rnacentral:rRNA from 1 species
GACGAACGCUGGCGGCGUGCUUAACACAUGCAAGUCGAACGGAAAGGCCCUGCUUUUGUGGGGUGCUCGAGUGGCGAACGGGUGAGUAACACGCGAGUAACCUGCCCUUGACUUUGGGAUAACUUCACGAAACUGGGGCUAAUACAGGAUAGGAGAUCCUGCUGCAUGGGGGGGGUUGGAAAGAUUCGGCGGUUGGGGAUGGACUCGCGGCUUACCCGCUUGUUGGUGGGGUAGUGGCUUACCAAGCCUUUGACGGGUAGCCGGCCUGAGAGGUUGACCGGCCACAAUGGGCCUGCGAGACGGCCCAGACGCCUACCGGAGGCAGAGGGGGAAAAUAUUACGGAGUGGCGGGAAGCGAGAGGUGGCAACGCCGCGUGCGUGAUGCUGUCUUUCGGGUUGUAAACCACUGUCGCCGGCGACAAAGCCUGAGUGACGGUAAUGGGUAAGGAAGCACCGGCUAACUACGUG